rnacentral:lncRNA from 1 species
GCCUGGCAUGGUUCAUCUGACCUUGACCUCAUUUUCAUGGUUCAUUGGUCUUUGUUUAGUUAUCUUGGUUAAUGCUAAGUUUAUGUAACAGUUUUUUAUAAAGUUUUAUACUUAGGACUAUCAACAUAAUAUCAAUAAUUAGUAAAGAAGGCGAGACAUUUCAGCAUGUGCACUCUUGUGUUUAUUUCUCUAGUUAAUUGAUUAAACAUAAUUGAAAUUUUACAAUUCGUCUUUUCAGAAUCUAAAGGACUAUGGGUAAUCUCAUUGUUCGUACACCAAAAUGAAAAUAACGUUACAUUAUUGGUUGAAUUUCCAUUGUUUAGAACAUUUUAAACCAAUCACACUUUUAAAAACAUUACCCAGAAUGCAGUAUAUUAGGAAACAGCGAAAUCUUAUGAAAAGGGGGAGACAACUAAUUAUUUUUAAAAAUUUUAAUCAACUAUUUUUAUUUUGAAUUAGAUAAAUCAAUAUAUAAAUUUUAAAGGCUUUGCAGGUUCUUGUUCAUAUGAAAUAACAUCUUGUACAUUUAUAUAUAGAUCAUAUGUUUAUUUAAAGUAAGAACGUCUGGGUUGAUUGCUAUGUUGUUUUUGUUAAUCAAAAAUCAAAACCUUGUCAGGUUUUUCAUAAUUCAGGAAGCAAAAUAAUUUUGUUUAUUUAAUUUUCUAAUAUUUCAUGAAAUAGUUAUUUCAUUUAUUUCAUUAAUUCAGAUCAGAUAGAAAAAAGGGGUUAGAUGGGUAAAAACAACUUCAUUUAAAAGUAUAACAUGUAAUAUUAGGGUGUGCAUUAUACAUAGUUUGUCAAUUUAUUGUAACAUUAUGUAUUUCUACUUGUAUCAAUUCUAGUAAUAAUCUGCAAACAUGCAGGUUCCUACCCAUAUAUCCUAAAUGAUGGGAAAAUCAGAUUUCCAUUAGACCAAAUUUCCUAAUGCAUGUAGAGCAAGACUUUGGUUAGCUUGUUUGCUUUGUUUGUAUAUAGUACUAUUUUAAUUUGGAUAAUGUCCAAUCAAAUUUAGAUAUAAAAUAUGCAUGUUAACUAUGCCUAAAUAUAUUGUUUGAAUAUGUCAAUCUUAAUUGCAAAGCUUGGAUGAACAUAUCAAGCAAGCCAACCAAAGUUUUACUUUGGAAGCAUUAGGAAAUCAGCUGUAACAGUAUACAAUUAUUGGAUAAUGAGUACCAGAUUCAGGGACAUGUUGAUGGAGUGUUACUAUAUUAUAUCUAUUGUGUCUACUUACAUUUGUCAUUUACAUUUAUGCAAAUUUUCAAAAUGUGAUAUGUAAUUUAUGUUAUCACCAUAAACACUGGACAUACUGACCAUUUUACUUUUGAAUUAAAGAAAAAUAUUGGUAUUUUAAAAUAAAAUGUUUUUAUU